ACUUUACUAUAAGAGAAUUGUAAAUCGAUAACGCAUGCCAAAAAUUGAAAGCUGAUGCACGUGCUAUUUGCACGUGUGUAGUGGGGAUUGCAGUUGGUUUGAAGGAAGCUGCCUUGUAUAAAAAGACAGCAACACACUGUGAGUCUCAGUAUCGUGCAAGAUUGUUAAUCGUGAUUUAAAAUCUGUCGCUUCUGAUAUAAAAAUAACGACUUUAAUUUUUUGAUCGAAUUUACACCAAAAUCAACAAAAUGGGAGAGCCAUUGGUCGUUGAGAUGGUGUAUCUUUACGAAAAAGAAAAUGCAAAAUUACAUCAUACCAUCAAUUACGAAUUAGUACAUCUCGAUCCUCCAGCUGCUGUCCUCAGACGAGGACAAUCUUUCCACAUUGCCUUGAGAUUCAAUCGAGAAUAUAUAGAUGAAAUAGACAUCGUUAGAUUACUGUUCAGUUUUGGACCAAAUCCGAAUGUUCUUAGAGGAACUAGAGGAGUGAACAUUAUCACCAAUAGAGAUAGUUAUCUGACAGAUUUAGAGGCAUGGGGUGUGCGUUUGAUGGGUGUUAGUGGCGUGGAUUUAUCAGCGGAAGUAAGAAGUCCUGUAGACAGUCCUGUUGGCAUGUGGCAGUUAAACAUAGAGACCACUAUCGUGGGGAGCAAGAAAUCUCCAAAUACCUAUAAUUAUGACAAGGAUAUUUAUUUGUUAUUUAAUCCCUGGUUGAAAGAGGAUUUAGUUUACAUGGAGGAUGAACAACUUCUGGAUGAAUAUAUUCUGAAUGAUGUUGGAAAAAUUUGGGUCGGAGCGUGGGGAAGUGCACGCGGUAGAGAAUGGAUAUUCGGUCAAUUCGAUGCAUAUGUGCUUAAAGCUUGUCAAUUACUAUUAGAAAGAUCUGGCAUCAAAGCUAAUUCCAGAGGAGAUCCGAUUCAAAUGUGUAGAGUUAUUUCGAGAAUCGUAAACUCCAACGAUGACAAAGGAGUAGUGACUGGUCGAUGGGAUGGCGAUUAUCAAGAUGGUACUGCGCCGGCUGCUUGGACCGGAAGUGUACCAAUUCUCGAGCAGUUCUUAGAAACAGGAGAAUCCGUCAAAUACGGUCAAUGUUGGGUAUUUGCCGGUGUCGUGACCACCGUCUGUCGUGCUCUAGGGAUACCAUCGAGAGUGGUUUCAAACUUGGUAUCGGCUCACGAUGCGAACGCCUCGCUCUCUGUCGAUCGUUAUUACAGCAAGGACAACGAGGAACUCGAAUACGAUCCGAACAAUCUUGAAGGCGAAGACUCCAUUUGGAAUUAUCACGUUUGGAACGAUGUCUGGAUGGCUAGGCCUGAUUUGCCUAAAGGAUAUGGUGGAUGGCAAGCGAUCGAUUCAACGCCCCAAGAACCUUCGGAGGGUGUUUACCAGUGUGGACCAGCUUCAGUCGAAGCAAUUAAACAAGGAGUUGUCGGAUAUAAUUACGAUGUGACAUUUAUGCUGGCUUCCGUAAAUGCUGAUCUUAUGAGGUGGAUAGAGGAUCCUGACAGCGAAAUGGGAUUCAGGAAGAUCGACUGUAAUAAGUAUCACAUUGGUCGAAUGAUUUUGACAAAAGCUCCUUGGGUCUAUGAUCCCAAUGGAGACAGAGAUAGAGAAGAUAUAACAUCUUUAUAUAAAGCAACAGAAGGAACGGAAUUGGAGCGAUUAACGUUGUACAGAGCCGUACGCAGUACGGAACUGGCCAAAAGAUUUUAUUCCUUGCCCUCACCAGCUAAGGAAGAUGUUGAAUUUGAUCUUGUGGAUAUUGAGCGAGUGAAUAUCGGCCAACCAUUUGCAGUAAUAGUGAAUAUAAAGAAUAAAUCGAACGAGAAACGUACUAUUCAAGCUAUUUUAUCCGCUGGUAGCGUAUAUUAUAAGGGAAUCAAGGCACAUCUGGUAAAGAGAGCGUCCGGUGAUUUCGUUCUUGAACCAUAUGCCAGCGAACAGUUAAGACUCACGAUCACGGUUGAUGAUUAUUUAGACAAACUAGUGGAAUAUUGUAAUAUGAAAUUAUAUUCCAUUGCCACAGUGGUCGAAACCAAACAAACAUGGGCUGAUGAAGAUGAUUUUCAAGUCUUGAAACCAAAUAUUAUAGUCAAGAUCGAUGGAGAACCUACAGUAGGAAAACCAUCAAUUAUCAGUCUUAGAUUCAAAAAUCCUUUGCAAAGGGUAUUAACAGAUUGUAAAUUCAAUUAUGCUGGUCCAGGAUUAACAAGAAACAAAACACUAGCAUUCAGAGAUGUUGAUCCCGAAGAAGACGUCUAUGUAGAACAUCAAUUGAUUCCUCAAAAGGCUGGAUCGCAAAAGAUCAUUGCCACUUUCACUUCGAAAGAGCUAGUAGAUGUUACAGGAUCCGCUGUCAUUGAUGUUCUUGAUAUGGAUGAAUAAAAUUCUUCAAAUUUGAAUGAUAUCAAUUUCAUUUUCAUCUUCGAUUAAUAAAUAUCUUAUCGAUAAAUAUAAGUUGAUGGCUGUAAAAAUAUUUGAAGAUAUCGAAGAUACAUUCUAGAAUGGAUUACGUGAUUAAAACGUUGAGAUCCUAUAUGAGGAAAGAGAUUAUGUAAUG
rnacentral:misc_RNA from 1 species